AUAGGAUUACAUUUGUUUUAUUUCCAUUUUAUAUGUUUCAAAAACAGGCAUACUAAAUUACAGCAUUGGAAAUCAAAAUAGGGGUUAUGUUUAGGGCAGAUGGAGUGAUAUGUGACUGGAAGCAAGCAUCAGGCGGCUCUGGGAGGGUUGGCUGAUUUUCUGUUUUUUUACUUGUAUGGCAAUUAUUAUGGUGUUCACUUUGUGUUCAUUUAUUGAGCUUUGCAUUUUUAUUUUGCUAUGGUUUUCUGUUUAUAUGUUAUGCUUCUCAGUUUAAAGAAUGUUGAAAUCUUCUAAUAAGAAAUUUUUUUUCAAUGAGAAGGAUUUUAAGCAUCCAGAAUCGAUUUUAAAAUCUCUAAUUUGCUUUAUAUGUAGAUUUAUGGACUGCUUAACUGCUACUCAUUUUUUCCUUCAUUUAUCAAUAUUGAAAUAUGAAAUUAAAAUAAUGACUAUUUGUGGCAAAAGUAGGGACUAUGUAGCAUAUUAACAACUUUAUAAAUAAAAGAAUAAAUCAACUCA
rnacentral:lncRNA from 1 species